AGAGUUUGAUCCUGGCUCAGGAUGAACGCUAGCGGCAGGCCUAACACAUGCAAGUCGAGGGAGGAGCUUUCGGGCUUCGACCGGCGUACGGGUGCGUAACGCGUAUACAAUCUGCCUUUCACAUAGGGAUAGCCCGAAGAAAUUUGGAUUAAUACCUAAUGGUAUAUAGAUGUGGCAUCACAUUUAUAUUAAAGCUGAGGCGGUGAAAGAUGAGUAUGCGUUCUAUUAGCUAGUUGGAGAGGUAACGGCUCCCCAAGGCGACGAUAGAUAGGGGUUCUGAGAGGGAUAUCCCCCACACUGGUACUGAGAUACGGACCAGACUCCUACGGGAGGCAGCAGUGAGGAAUAUUGGACAAUGGUCGGAAGACUGAUCCAGCCAUGCCGCGUGCAGGAAGACGGCCUUAUGGGUUGUAAACUGCUUUUGCAGGGGAAGAAUAAGGACUACGAGUAGUUUGAUGACGGUACUCUGCGAAUAAGCAUCGGCUAACUCCGUGCCAGCAGCCGCGGUAAUACGGAGGAUGCGAGCGUUAUCCGGAAUCAUUGGGUUUAAAGGGUCCGUAGGCGGGCUAAUAAGUCAGAGGUGAAAGCGCUCAGCUCAACUGAGCAACUGCCUUUGAAACUGUUAGUCUUGAAUGGUUGUGAAGUAGUUGGAAUGUGUAGUGUAGCGGUGAAAUGCUUAGAUAUUACACAGAACACCGAUAGCGAAGGCAUAUUACUAACAAUUAAUUGACGCUGAUGGACGAAAGCGUGGGGAGCGAACAGGAUUAGAUACCCUGGUAGUCCACGCUGUAAACGAUGGAUACUAGCUGUUUGGUUGUAAGACUGAGUGGCUAAGCGAAAGUGAUAAGUAUCCCACCUGGGGAGUACGCACGCAAGUGUGAAACUCAAAGGAAUUGACGGGGGCCCGCACAAGCGGUGGAGCAUGUGGUUUA
rnacentral:rRNA from 1 species